CCUACGGGAGGCAGCAGUGGGGAAUUUUGCACAAUGGGGGCAACCCUGAUCCAGCAAUGCCGCGUGAGUGAAGAAGGCCUUCGGGUUGUAAAGCUCUGUUGUCAGGGAAGAACCGGUGCAUCCUAAUCCGGUCCCAUAAUGACGUACC
rnacentral:rRNA from 1 species